GCUAUACUGCAAGUCGAGCGAACAGAUAAGGAGCUUGCUCCUUUGACGUUAGCGGCGGACGGGUGAGUAACACGUGGAUAACCUACCUAUAAGACUAGGAUAACUUCGGGAAACCGGAGCUAAUACCGGAUAACAUAUUGAACCGCAUGGUUCAAUAGUGAAAGGCGGCUUUGCUGUCACUUAUAGAUGGAUCCGCGCCGUAUUAGCUAGUUGGUAAGGUAACGGCUUACCAAGGCAACGAUACGUAGCCGACCUGAGAGGGUGAUCGGCCACACUGGAACUGAGACACGGUCCAGACUCCUACGGGAGGCAGCAGUAGGGAAUCUUCCGCAAUGGGCGAAAGCCUGACGGAGCAACGCCGCGUGAGUGAUGAAGGUCUUCGGAUCGUAAAACUCUGUUAUCAGGGAAGAACAAAUGUGUAAGUAACUGUGCACAUCUUGACGGUACCUGAUCAGAAAGCCACGGCUAACUACGUGCCAGCAGCCGCGGUAAUACGUAGGUGGCAAGCGUUAUCCGGAAUUAUUGGGCGUAAAGCGCGCGUAGGCGGUUUUUUAAGUCUGAUGUGAAAGCCCACGGCUCAACCGUGGAGGGUCAUUGGAAACUGGAAAACUUGAGUGCAGAAGAGGAAAGUGGAAUUCCAUGUGUAGCGGUGAAAUGCGCAGAGAUAUGGAGGAACACCAGUGGCGAAGGCGACUUUCUGGUCUGUAACUGACGCUGAUGUGCGAAAGCGUGGGGAUCAAACAGGAUUAGAUACCCUGGUAGUCCACGCCGUAAACGAUGAGUGCUAAGUGUUAGGGGGUUUCCGCCCCUUAGUGCUGCAGCUAACGCAUUAAGCACUCCGCCUGGGGAGUACGACCGCAAGGUUGAAACUCAAAGGAAUUGACGGGGACCCGCACAAGC
rnacentral:rRNA from 1 species